AGAUAAGGCGUUAAUCAAUUGGUAUCAUUUAAAUGAACAACCUUAAUAAAGUCUUUCAGCAAUUUUAGUCUUCAAACUAGGCCUAAUAAAAGAAAUUUCAACCAGUUUGGUAAACGGCCUGCACUCAGGCCUAAAUGAGAAGGGAAACAAUUAUGUUUUGGGCCUUCAACAUGAGCCCAGAUUACUUUACGGCCUUUAAUCGCUGCCCAUUGAUUUUAGUUCACAAUAGGCUUAACGUUUUGGACAUAUAGGAUGAGCCUUGUGUUCAUGCUAGUUUCAAUUCAUUGGUUUUAAAUCCUAACGGUCUAGGCCAGUUUAACACCAUUACAUACAAAUAUCUGAAUUGGCUAAGCUAAUUAAACUAAUGCAUUUAAUUUGUAACGUAGGCAUACUUUUAUACUAACAUCAACUAAUGGUAUAUGAUACAUUCAACUAACAGUACCCUGAAUCAGUCAAAUGCCUAAACAUCAAUCAUAAAAGCAAUCAGUAGUUUCCACACUCAGUUUCGAUUUCCUAACAAUUAAAUGACAACAAAUUCGAACUAAAUAAGUUGUUAAGCCAUUCUUAUCCUGAGGCUAUCAUCAAGUAAAAUUCACAAGUGCUCAAUAGUCCAGAUUAUACAACAGUUCUGAUCGACUCUAGUUCAAAUGAUUACAAAACUGAUUUUGUUUCACACAAUUAUACUAAUGUCUAGGUUUAUACAAAUAAUAGAUCAGCUAAACCAAUAGAAGACAGUUGAAACAUAAUAGGCUAUUUGGAAUGGUAAAUCCACAGCAACACCAUCUUAGUUUCAUUCCAUUUUAAAAGGAGAGAGCUACAUUGACUAGUUCAAGGUGUGUAGCUGGAAGUAGGAAUACAAUGAAAAGAGAGAAGUGAUCACCAACAGCAAUAAACAGCAUAGUAUCACAGCAAAUAGGAUCAUUUGAAGACCACAAGACCCAGGAAUAGAGGACGGAUGACAAUUAGCCAGCGAAAUCAAUCCAGAAACUAAAUCGAUUGACUAGUUUCAACUAAGACCAAGCCAAAUAGCUCAAAUAUACCCAAAACCAUUUCAAAUUGGAAUGCAGAACACCUCAAAACUUCUGUGAUUGUAGUUAUGCUAAUGAUGAACAUCAGUGAUUGGAAUUCAAAAUCAGCCUAUGUAACAAUUCUUUUUUUUGUUUUUUUCUAUAUUUUCUUUUGUUUUGUUUUUGGAAAUUUGAAUUUAAAAUUCAAAUUUUCUAAAUUUAAAAAAUAUUUUUGGGGGAAUUUUGAUUCUGGAGGAUUUUUGGGAAUUUUUCCAGAUCUGGAACCUUGUGAAUAAGGCAGAAAUGAUUGCCUUUUAGGCAAAAGAGGGAUGGGAAGCUUCUAGAUUACACUCACACUUUUUUCCUCUUUUAGUUUCAGAUCUCACUUAUUAGACCUUUAUUUUUUUGACUUGUUUCUUAAGUACUGCCCUAAGUUUACGAAAAUCUGCACUAAAGCCCUAUUCUAGAAGAUUCUAGGAAAUUCUAGUGUUAACUACAACAUUUUCUUUGUAUAUGAAUACCUAAACUACCCUUAUUUUAUUAUGAAAUUUACUAAACUAGUACUAACUAAACUCCAUACCCUUUAACCCUAGUCAAGGUAAUGUGCUAUAGCCAACUGACAUUAACCAUAUGAUUAACUCAACUACUGAAAUCAAUGAAACAAAAUCAUAUAUCAAAAUAGAUUUGAACUAACAUCACAAAACAAGAUUAACCAAAAAUCAGAACAAAAAGCAAAGCUAACAAAAAUCAGGAUUGACUUAAGGACUAAAAUCAGCAUAAACCCUAAGAAGUAACGAUGGACCAAAUAAUAAAAAUUAGAUUUCAUAACAGUCACCCAAACGAAAAAAUAAAAAAGAAAAAAUUAAGGAAAUACCUAGUUUUGAAAUUUAAAGAAAACCUUGCCAUCCUCAAAGCUUCAAAUCCGAUGGCCCAUGUUUUUGAACAAAUUUGGACUAUGACCAUCCUUAAUUAGGUGUUUCCCCUGAUAAAAUUAAGGGAUAUUAUAGCUCGGAAACCAUUUUACUCCCAAUUUGUAAGAGUUAGGGUUUUGAGGACAAAUUUCAAAUUAAGAUUCGACACGAACAGGGGUGAUUCGAAGGUUGAGGACUGUGAAUUUGGGAUGAUUGGGUGUAAGGAGAAUGUGGGGUGUUAAUUUGGUUGGUUUUGGGGGAGUUUGCAUUUUGGUCGAAAUUUUAAUGUGAUAUUCGAGACGAUUGGUGGGGAUUCGAAGGAAAUUAUUUUGGGAGUUGGAAAGAGGAGAGGAAGAUGAUUCGAUGGUGUAUUUUUUGGGGUCGAUUGGGUCUUCGCCGUCGGCAGAGACGAUUUUCAUCUGGCGGCACCGGCGGAAGGACGGCGGAGCACAGGGGGUACAAGGAACAGGCCACUGGUCUCGAGGGUUUUGAAUUUUUCGGACAAUUAUAUUUAAAGUGAAGAACCUUUGUGAGUCGUUGGAUUAGGAAAUAUGGAGGGCUCAAAUUAAUUGGGAUUGAAACGAUGUAGUAGCACCCCCACACUAUGGCAUUAUGAUGGUUUGAGAGAUGGGGUGUUUGGAGCAGGGAUGGGUGCAAUUUAGGCUUGUUUUUUGGGCAGAAUUGUGUCUGGACUGGCCCAAAAUUUGGUAUUUAUUAGUACUAAGCUUUUCUUUUAAGUCUUUUUAUUUGUUUUCUUUUUUUUUUACUUGUUUUCUUUUUUUUUUAUUGUCUUCUAAUUUUAUUAAAUGUA
rnacentral:lncRNA from 1 species